rnacentral:rRNA from 1 species
UAACACAUGCAAGUCGAACGGUAACAGGAAGCAGCUUGCUGCUUUGCUGACGAGUGGCGGACGGGUGAGUAAUGUCUGGGAAACUGCCUGAUGGAGGGGGAUAACUACUGGAAACGGUGGCUAAUACCGCAUAACGUCGCAAGACCAAAGAGGGGGACCUUCGGGCCUCUUGCCAUCAGAUGUGCCCAGAUGGGAUUAGCUUGUUGGUGAGGUAACGGCUCACCAAGGCGACGAUCCCUAGCUGGUCUGAGAGGAUGACCAGCCACACUGGAACUGAGACACGGUCCAGACUCCUACGGGAGGCAGCAGUGGGGAAUAUUGCACAAUGGGCGCAAGCCUGAUGCAGCCAUGCCGCGUGUAUGAAGAAGGCCUUCGGGUUGUAAAGUACUUUCAGCGGGGAGGAAGGUGUUGUGGUUAAUAACCGCAGCAAUUGACGUUACCCGCAGAAGAAGCACCGGCUAACUCCGUGCCAGCAGCCGCGGUAAUACGGAGGGUGCAAGCGUUAAUCGGAAUUACUGGGCGUAAAGCGCACGCAGGCGGUCUGUCAAGUCGGAUGUGAAAUCCCCGGGCUCAACCUGGGAACUGCAUUCGAAACUGGCAGGCUUGAGUCUUGUAGAGGGGGGUAGAAUUCCAGGUGUAGCGGUGAAAUGCGUAGAGAUCUGGAGGAAUACCGGUGGCGAAGGCGGCCCCCUGGACAAAGACUGACGCUCAGGUGCGAAAGCGUGGGGAGCAAACAGGAUUAGAUACCCUGGUAGUCCACGCCGUAAACGAUGUCUACUUGGAGGUUGUGCCCUUGAGGCGUGGCUUCCGGAGCUAACGCGUUAAGUAGACCGCCUGGGGAGUACGGCCGCAAGGUUAAAACUCAAAUGAAUUGACGGGGGCCCGCACAAGCGGUGGAGCAUGUGGUUUAAUUCGAUGCAACGCGAAGAACCUUACCUGGUCUUGACAUCCACAGAAGAAUCCAGAGAUGGAUUUGUGCCUUCGGGAACUGUGAGACAGGUGCUGCAUGGCUGUCGUCAGCUCGUGUUGUGAAAUGUUGGGUUAAGUCCCGCAACGAGCGCAACCCUUAUCCUUUGUUGCCAGCGGUUAGGCCGGGAACUCAAAGGAGACUGCCAGUGAUAAACUGGAGGAAGGUGGGGAUGACGUCAAGUCAUCAUGGCCCUUACGACCAGGGCUACACACGUGCUACAAUGGCGCAUACAAAGAGAAGCGACCUCGCGAGAGCAAGCGGACCUCAUAAAGUGCGUCGUAGUCCGGAUUGGAGUCUGCAACUCGACUCCAUGAAGUCGGAAUCGCUAGUAAUCGUGGAUCAGAAUGCCACGGUGAAUACGUUCCCGGGCCUUGUACACACCGCCCGUCACACCAUGGGAGUGGGUUGCAAAAGAAGUAGGUAGCUUAACCUUCGGGAGGGCGCUUACCACUUUGUGAUUCAUGACUGGGGUGAAGUCGUAACAAGGUAACCGUAGGGGAACCUGCGGUUGGAUCACCUCCUUACCUUAAAGAA